rnacentral:rRNA from 1 species
AGAUUGAACGCUGGCGGCGUGCCUAACACAUGCAAGUCGAGCGGUAACAGGCGUAGCAAUACGUGCUGACGAGCGGCGAACGGGUGAGCAAUGCUUCGGAAUCUGCCCAAUGAUGGGGAAUAACCAGUCGAAAGAUUGGCUAAUACCGCAUACGCCCUUCGGGGGAAAGCGGGGGAUCGCAAGACCUCGCGUCGAUGGAUGAGCCGAAGUCGGAUUAGCUAGUUGGUAGGGUACGCCUACCAAGGCGACGAUCCGUAGCUGGUCUGAGAGGACGACCAGCCACACUGGACUGAGACGACGGCCCAGACGUCCUACCGGUAGGCAGCAGGUGGGAAUUUUGGACAGUGGCGCAAGCCUGAUCCAGCAAUGCCGGCGU